rnacentral:rRNA from 2 species
UGGAUCCAGACUUUGAUUAUGGCUCAGGACGAACGCUGGCGGCGCGCCUAACACAUGCAAGUCGAACGAGAGAGAGGGAGCUUGCUUCCUCAAUCGAGUGGCGAACGGGUGAGUAACGCGUGAGGAACCUGCCUCAAAGAGGGGGACAACAGUUGGAAACGACUGCUAAUACCGCAUAAGCCCACGGCUCGGCAUCGAGCAGAGGGAAAAGGAGCAACCCGCUUUGAGAUGGCCUCGCGUCCGAUUAGCUAGUUGGUGAGGUAACGGCCCACCAAGGCGACGAUCGGUAGCCGGACUGAGAGGUUGAACGGCCACAUUGGGACUGAGACACGGCCCAGACUCCUACGGGAGGCAGCAGUGGGGAAUAUUGCACAAUGGGGGAAACCCUGAUGCAGCGACGCCGCGUGGAGGAAGAAGGUCUUCGGGUUGUAAACUCCUGUUGUUGAGGAAGAUAAUGACGGUACUCAACAAGGAAGUGACGGCUAACUACGUGCCAGCAGCCGCGGUAAAACGUAGGUCACAAGCGUUGUCCGGAAUUACUGGGUGUAAAGGGAGCGCAGGCGGGAGAACAAGUUGGAAGUGAAAUCCAUGGGCUCAACCCAUGAACUGCUUUCAAAACUGUUUUUCUUGAGUAGUGCAGAGGUAGGCGGAAUUCCCGGUGUAGCGGUGGAAUGCGUAGAUAUCGGGAGGAACACCAGUGGCGAAGGCGGCCUACUGGGCACCAACUGACGCUGAGGCUCGAAAGUGUGGGUAGCAAACAGGAUUAGAUACCCUGGUAGUCCACACCGUAAACGAUGAUUACUAGGUGUUGGAGGAUUGACCCCUUCAGUGCCGCAGUUAACACAAUAAGUAAUCCACCUGGGGAGUACGACCGCAAGGUUGCAACUCAAAGGAAUUGACGGA